AUUGAACGCUGGCGGCAGGCCUAACACAUGCAAGUCGAACGAGUGGCGGACGGGUGAGUAAUGUCUGGGAAACUGCCUGAUGGGGGGGGAUAAAUACUGGAAACGGUAGCUAAUAACGAAUACCAUCGGCAGUGCCCAGAUGGGAUUAGGUGGUAGGUGGGGGAAAGGCUCACCUAGGCGACGAUCCCUAGCUGGUCUGAGGGGAGGACCAGCCACACUGGAACUGAGACACGGUCCAGACUCCUACGGGAGGCAGCAGUGGGGAAUAUUGCACAAUGGGCGCAAGCCUGAUGCAGCCAUGCCGCGUGUAUGAAGAAGGCCUUCGGGUUGUAAAGUCCUUUCAGCGGGGAGGCGUUACCCGCAGAGGAAGCACCGGCUAACUCCGUGCCAGCAGCCGCGGUAAUUC
rnacentral:rRNA from 1 species